UCUAUCAGCUCUUUGAUCUAUUGGCAGCAUAGUUGAAAGGAGAUUGCAUUUUUCAAGUGAUACAGCCCAACUUUGUCUUCCUUGAGAUAAAAGUCUGCCUUGCUGAAAAGUUUUUGAUGGUGUCUUUGCUCAAAUCGACAAGGGAAAGCUUUGAUUAGUAUUCCUCUGGAUUGAACAUCAAUGUUGUCCAAUGGAACAUUAUGUAAUGCUCCCUACUGGCACUGCACUAAACUUCAGUGGAUGAAUGAGUAUUCAUAUUAUUUUGAGAUGGAUAUGCUAUGCACUAAACAUUAUGUAGUGCUUUUAAAUUGCCUAAAUGCCCUUGUAAAUAAUUUAAAUAUUCUGCUUAAAUUAGACUUCGUUAUAAAA
rnacentral:lncRNA from 1 species